UGUGUCUGUGAGCAUGAGUUCGUGUCAUGGAGAAUAAACUCCAUCAUCUCUGUGCUGCCACGGCAAGGGGCAUGCAACUCCGCCCUGCCUCUUUUGGCACAAGCAGGGGGAAUAACACACACUCAUCCCUCCCCACUAUACAGGGGGCAUGAUGAAACUUCCUGGAACACACUGCUGUCCUGUGAACAGAAGGAGCCUUGUCGGUGAGUUCCAGAGAGAAGAAAUCACUUCCGGACAGCAGAGUGAACUUAAGAGAGCGGCCGUGUGAAGAAGGAGAUGGCCAACUUGGUGUCCCACGGAUAGGAAGAGAGCAGGAGCUGACUUGUCGUCAAGUCAGAAUCACCUUGAUUUGUGCGGGGCUUUGCAUCAUGCUCUGGACCGCGUCAGACCUCCAUUUUGUCGACUUUCAGAUGUUCCCAUUUGCAAAACAGCCCAGAUUAAUUCCCCGAGAGUUACAAGGAAAGGAACCCGAGCAGAAAUUUCCCAAACAUGGCAGCCAGGAGCGAAGGCAUCGUGCGCACUACAGAGAUGGGGUUAAUCUGGUCAAGGUCCAAGCCCUGGCAGCUGAUGAAUUCUCGGCUGUAAAAACAGUUCUGUCCAGCUUGGCUUCCGUGGAGUCACCCUUAACUUGCAGAGCGGGGCUCCAGAAUGUAAGCUGUGCUUGGUGGAAACUGCUGACGGGACGCCGGUUCGCAACCAAACUGGGACCUUGAGAACAGGAUCACAGCCCCGGCACACUCUUCCCUACUGGCUGCAGCCGGGCAAGGGCGGAACCAGGCUCAGACGCACUGCUGGAACCACGAUGCUGCGGUUUUUUCUAAGAUAGCUCUUAGGAAAGCGUUUUUUACAUGCACCGCUCUCCUUCCAAACACCUCAACAAACUAUUUUUUCAACACCCGCAGAAUUUGUUUCAGCACGUGCCUACGGAAGGUUCAGUAAUAUGCGCAAACAUGACAACAAGGGGAAUAAAAAGCGUGUGGUCCCUUUAUGGGCGACGACGCCAGCAAAGAUUCCUCUCACAGUUACAGAUACCCCCACGAUGCUCAUAAGAUAUCUGUCAGCCAAUGGCAUUGAAAUCUCAAAUACUAUUAUUAUUAUUACUAA